rnacentral:rRNA from 1 species
UACCAGCACCCCGAGUGGUCGGGACGAUUAUUGGGCCUAAAGCAUCCGUAGCAGGCCUUACAAGUCCUCCGUUAAAUCCAGCUGCUUAACAGAUGGGCUGCGGAGGAUACUAUAAGACUAGGAGGCAGGAGAGGCAAGCGGUACUCAGUGGGUAGGGGUAAAAUCCGUUGAUCCAUUGAAGACCACCAGUGGCGAAGGCGGCUUGCCAGAAUGCGCUCGACGGUGAGGGAUGAAAGCUGGGGGAGCAAACCGG